CUUAGUUCAGUGAUGACUUUCAGUCUACACGUCUGUCUAGCCAUAUAUAUUCGUCAGAGAAACGCAGGCUAGUGCUGGGAGCCUUCGGCGACAGCACAUAUACCUGCGUUUAUGAUGCGUCACAUCGGCGCUCCUCACUUCUUGUGCUGGCACUGUAGACAUGAAAAAAUUGUUUAUUUAAAAGCACCGAUGCGAAAUCUGAAAUAUAAAGUAAUUUAUCCUUUUUAGACUUCUUGAUUCUUGAGGUUAGACGCGCCGAUAGCGUGCAGACGGACUCGGCGGAUACGCUAUGCCUAAGCUUCGAUGGGGACUGAUCUCGGCGCGGGUAGCUGGCGAAAGCUAAAAUGUGUGUAUUUGAGCCUCAGAACUCUUUUUAGUACAAUAGGGAAAGUGGAAGCGCACGAAUCGCCUCAGCCUUGUUAUCGGUGCGAUAAUAUCAAGCAGCGGUAGGCAUCGAACUCGGGGUCCGUUCGAGCGCGUCUGAACGACUUCUGGAUUUCAUGUCCACUCCACAACACUGCGACAAUGGCGAUAACUCCCAGUCAUACGUUACGUGCGAACUACUAAAAAAGCGGCGUCCUCCGUCUAUGCGUGGUUUCGUUAAAGAAUUUAGCUGUCCGCCCUGUCACAAGGCAAAAUGCAAAAAACGAAAGUGAUUUUCAGUGUCACAUGUGCAGGAAUAAACAAGGCAGCUCACGCACCUUUAUUCCAUGCUGCGACACGAAAUAGUUCUAUGACCCUAAGAUAUAGCGUUAUUUAGGACAAGAGACUAGUAUCAAGCCAUGAAAUUGUAUAAAGCAUUUAAUAUUCAGCAGCGCUCGUCCUUGCGUGCUGGAGCCAGCGCGGCACAAACACAACCAGCGCCGUUUCCAAUGCGAGCGUCUCUUCCAGUGUGACCCAGCUCUUAUCCAGCGUUCUCACUGGUCUCGAGUGAGUCCCAGCGAGCGCCAGCGUACCCAGUGCGAUCCAGUGCUUAAAAAAAAAGAAAGAAAAAGAAAAAAGAAAAACGCGCUGGUUUCACACUGGAAGGCACUGGAAGACGCUGGUUCUUGCAAUCGGCAUUUCAGAGGUUUUUUACUAUCAAGUAAGAGCAUCGUUAAAAAGACACUCAUUGACCAAGGCAAACAUCACACUAAUCGAAAUUAGGAAAACCAAAGAAAUAUAACGGAAGCGCGCAUUGUGGUUUAUAUCGCAUAUGCAGGUAAAUCACAAAGAUGUAUACCAAGAAACACUAAGCAAAACUGCGCCUUAGCAAUCGCGUCAUAUCUAUUUGCUGGCAUGCAGUGACUGCAGCACUUGGGGCGGAAACAGAUCGAACGCCGCCGCAAAUUUCUGGCACAUACCACUCAAAUGCACGCUGCAGAAACGAUUUUUUUUUUCAAGGAAUCUUGAACAGUCACAGACCACAUGAGCGCGAUCCGCGCAUGAUAAGCGCAUCGCCACGAAAGCAAGAUAGGGAACACAUAAGCGUAACCUGUACCUCACGGGUAAAAUUAAACAUCAUCGUAUAUACGUUGCUGUGCGACGGACACAAGCGCACGGAAACAUCACACACUGCACACGUGUACCUCCGAGGUUGUGUCGACAAUUUCUGGGCUACAUUUAAACGACAGCAGGAAGUUACUUCAAUGAGAAACGAAGUGAGGGCACAGGCACUGCAGGUAACGGCUGCGCAUAAAGUCAGUUAGGGUUUUAAGGCCAGUGACCGAGGUUGAAAUCGUUAAAAUCACACCGCAGCGAUAGCUUACACAGGGUAAAUUGUCGAGAUCUUGAAGGCCAUGCUUUUUGCUGACUACAUGUGGCAUAAGCGAUUCAAAAGCAAGAAUACUGCAUGUAAUUUAUUUCUGCCCUAAACUAUAGCACACAAUAUGAGCAUGUCAAUGUUUCUUCUUGUCUAGCAACAUAUGUAUGUAGUUCGGCUCAAAGGCCGGCUCAAAACGGCACAAAACCUGCUGUAGUGGGUAUUAUUGUAGGAAUCACGGAGGCCACAGCAGCCGCACUAUUAUACAGACGGCGCUGGCGGCGCCGGUAUUUUCGUAUUCAACGCGACAGGUAGAAUACGAAGCUACGGCGUGUUGUUAUUGCUCCGUCUUCAACGGUUGUCGUGCGAGCUGCGUCGAUGUGUUUGUUUGACCGUGUGUUAUUAGGUUUGCUGUAAUGAAAUGAGACGUAGUUCGCGAGCACGAAAGUGCCAGAAGAUGGCUUGAGUCUCGCUGUAAGCACGCCGUAUGCGUGGCGCGCCAGCUAAAUGUGGACCAACGAUUUUCAUGCCAUGGAGUGCGUUCCCUUUGUCUCCGCUUGUGUUCGUGGAAAGUUUGGUGGACGGCGCAGAGAAGUAAUGCGUAUUAUUAGCGCGCCUCAGCUCGUCCACUACCCAGUGGCUUGUUUGCUGCAAGUAACAUCGCAGACGCAUCACUGGAAACUUGGAGAGUGCCUUUCGACCUCGUCGUACUGUUGAAACGUGGCGAGGCCGUGACCCACAACAUUAACUACAAGAUCGAGGAGCCCCAAGAAAUGCCGACCCUGUGGAUAUAUGGCUGCAGCAGCAUGGCGUGUGAUCUGGAUCGUCAUGACAGGCUCCACCGUCGCCGUUACUAGACGGACCAAAUGAGGCCAAAAACUAGCCUUUCCUCGCU